rnacentral:rRNA from 1 species
GACGAACCGUGCAAACGUUGUUCGGAAUCACUGGGCUUAAAGGGCGCGUAGGCGGGUUCUCAAGUCAGUGGUGAAAUCUUGCGGCUCAACCGUAGAAUAGCUGCUGAUACUGAGAGUCUCGAGGGAGGCAGGGGUCGAUGGAACUUCCGGUGGAGCGGUGAAAUGCGUAGAUAUCGGAAGGAACGCCGGUGGCGAAAGCGAUCGACUGGACCUUUUCUGACGCUGAGGCGCGGAAGCCAGGGGAGCAAACGGG